rnacentral:rRNA from 1 species
UUGUUUGGUGUCGCGUUGUCAUAUCACUCGUCGAGCGCGCCCUUCGGGGUGAGCGGCGGACGGGUUAGUAACGCGUGGGAAUAUGCCCAAAGGUAGGGAAUAGCCUCUGGAAACGGAGAGUAAUACCCUAUGUGCCCUUCGGGGGAAAGAUUUAUCGCCUUUGGAUUAGCCCGCGUUAGAUUAGGUAGUUGGUGGGGUAAUGGCCUACCAAGCCUACGAUCUAUAGCUGGUUUUAGAGGAUGAUCAGCAACACUGGGACUGAGACACGGCCCAGACUCCUACGGGAGGCAGCAGUGGGGAAUCUUGGACAAUGGGCGCAAGCCUGAUCCAGCCAUGCCGCGUGAGUGAUGAAGGCCUUAGGGUCGUAAAGCUCUUUCGCCAGGGAUGAUAAUGACAGUACCUGGUAAAGAAACCCCGGCUAACUCCGUGCCAGCAGCCGCGGUAAUACGGAGGGGGUUAGCGUUGUUCGGAAUUACUGGGCGUAAAGCGCGCGUAGGCGGAUCGGAAAGUUGGGGGUGAAAUCCCGGGGCUCAACCCCGGAACUGCCUCCAAAACUAUCGGUCUAGAGUUCGAGAGAGGUGAGUGGAAUUCCGAGUGUAGAGGUGAAAUUCGUAGAUAUUCGGAGGAACACCAGUGGCGAAGGCGGCUCACUGUCUCGAUACUGACGCUGAGGUGCGAAAGUGUGGGGAGCAAACAGGAUUAGAUACCCUGGUAGUCCACACCGUACACGAUGAAUGCCAGUCGUCGGCAAGCAUGCUUUGUCGGUGACACACCUAACGGAUUAAGCAUUCCGCCUGGGAGUACGGUCGCAAGAUUAAACUCAAGGUAUUGACGGGGGCCCGCACAGCGUGAGCAUGUGAUUUAUUCGUAGCAACGCGCAGUACCCUUACCUAUCCUUGACAUCUAGGACACUCUAGAUGAGCGUCUCGGGACUAGUGACAGUGCUGCAUGCUGUCGUCAGCUCGGUCGUGGAAUGUUCCGUAGUCCGCACGAUCGCACCAAUCUAGUGCAGCAGUUCGCUUGCAUCUAGGUAACUGCUGUCUAGCGCGAGUGGAUACGUCAGUCCAGCUACGUGGGUUCACACGGUUCAAUGGCCACUCUAG